GACGAACGCUGGCGGCGUGCUUAACACAUGCAAGUCGAACGGAAAGGCCCUGCUUUUGUGGGGUGCUCGAGUGGCGAACGGGUGAGUAACACGUGAGUAACCUGCCCUUGACUUUGGGAUAACUUCAGGAAACUGGGGCUAAUACCGGAUAGGAGCUCCUGCUGCAUGGUGGGGGUUGGAAAGUUUCGGCGGUUGGGGAUGGACUCGCGGCUUAUCAGCUUGUUGGUGGGGUAGUGGCUUACCAAGGCUUUGACGGGUAGCCGGCCUGAGAGGGUGACCGGCCACAUUGGGACUGAGAUACGGCCCAGACUCCUACGGGAGGCAGCAGUGGGGAAUAUUGCACAAUGGGCGGAAGCCUGAUGCAGCAACGCCGCGUGCGGGAUGACGGCCUUCGGGUUGUAAACCGCUUUCGCCUGUGACGAAGCGUGAGUGACGGUAAUGGGUAAAGAAGCACCGGCUAACUACGUGUCAGCAGCCGCGGUGAUACGUAGGGUGCGAGCGUUGUCCGGAUUUAUUGGGCGUAAAGGGCUCGUAGGUGGUUGAUCGCGUCGGAAGUGUAAUCUUGGGGCUUAACCCUGAGCGUGCUUUCGAUACGGGUUGACUUGAGGAAGGUAGGGGAGAAUGGAAUUCCUGGUGGAGCGGUGGAAUGCGCAGAUAUCAGGAGGAACACCAGUGGCGAAGGCGGUUCUCUGGGCCUUUCCUGACGCUGAGGAGCGAAAGCGUGGGGAGCGAACAGGCUUAGAUACCCUGGUAGUCCACGCUGUAAACGGUGGGUACUAGGUGUGGGGUCCAUUCCACGGGUUCCGUGCCGUAGCUAACGCUUUAAGUACCCCGCCUGGGGAGUACGGCCGCAAGGCUAAAACUCAAAGGAAUUGACGGGGCCCCGCACAAGCGGCGGAGCAUGCGGAUUAAUUCGAUGCAACGCGUAGAACCUUACCUGGGUUUGACAUGGAUCGGGAGCGCUCAGAGAUGGGUGUGCCUCUUUUGGGGUCGGUUCACAGGUGGUGCAUGGCUGUCGUCAGCUCGUGUCGUGAGAUGUUGGGUUAAGUCCCGCAACGAGCGCAACCCUUGUUCACUGUUGCCAGCACGUUAUGGUGGGGACUCAGUGGAGACCGCCGGGGUCAACUCGGAGGAAGGUGGGGAUGACGUCAAGUCAUCAUGCCCCUUAUGUCCAGGGCUUCACGCAUGCUACAAUGGCUGGUACAGAGAGUGGCGAGCCUGUGAGGGUGAGCGAAUCUCGGAAAGCCGGUCUCAGUUCGGAUUGGGGUCUGCAACUCGACCUCAUGAAGUCGGAGUCGCUAGUAAUCGCAGAUCAGCAACGCUGCGGUGAAUACGUUCCCGGG
rnacentral:rRNA from 1 species